rnacentral:lncRNA from 1 species
UCUAGAUACCGGUUAUGCCAAGUUCUUAAGGGAACAGGUAAUAUGUAAAAUAACAGAGUAGAAUAAUCUCCUUCCCCAAGACAGUUUUUCUUUUUUUAUUUUGCUAUGCUGUCGCCCUUGAAGUUUAUUUGAGGACAUUUUGGGAGGAAGAAAAGGGUGAUCACGCGGAAUCCACCUGGGUUUGAAUUGUGUUCUGUCGCUGGCUUGCGAGUGGGCGAAGCGCAGUGGAGGCGAAUCCCCCACCUCUCUUUUCUGUUCAUCGCCUUGUAGGUACAGUUCAAAAGCAGAACAGAGGACGGUGUUUUAGGAAAAGCUCUGCCUUGCUGGUCCUCAAACUACACAGGAGCUUGGUCUCCCCAUCUCUUGGCCCCUUUGGAAGAAAUCCCACUAGUUACGCUUAGAAGAGCUGAGCGUCAUCGGAUGAGCAGAGACGCAAAGACACAGACUUGGCCAGCCCGGGCUUUAUUUAGGAUGUGGUGACCCUUCGCGAAGGGUGUGUGUGUGUGUGUGUGUGUGUGUGUGUGUGUCCCCUCUGGCCGCCGGCGUCCCCAGCUGGGAAGUGCCUGGAAUCGCGCGGCCAACCUCUCGCCCUGUCACCGCGCUCCCCGCUGUCACCAACCAGCCGUGCCCCGGCCCGAGCUCCCGCUCCGAGUUGCCCCGGCAGUCCAGAUGUGGGCAAUGCGUUUCUGCUCCCAAAGGCCAGGGGACUGGGCUUGCGGCCUGCAGCGCCAGGCCUGGCGGGUUUCGCGGCGGAUGAACUCUGCAGCGUGUUUAAUAAGCAUCUGCCCCCGGGCUUGGUGCGCCCCGAAGGGGCCUCGUCGCCCACUGCGGCCUGAGGCCUCGGGCGAGCUCAGUAGCCGCUGGGGUUAGGCGUCCGAACCCGCAGGCUCCAGCCCCAGCACUAACCCCGCCCGGACGUGGUUCAGUGCCCAGGGUCCCGGGGCAGGGGAGAGGGCGGCUCCGUGGAACCCUGGAGGCGCCCUGCCGCUGAGCUGUGAGGAGCCGAGGCCGAGGUGCGUGCGGGCCAACCGGCCAGGACCUGGACCGCACCCGCAUGGCCUGGAGUCUGAGGGCUGCAGGCGCGGGCUGAGACCUGCGGGACCCGCCGGAGUGGUGUGUAGGACUGACGCUCCCUCGUGCCCCGCGCUUCGUGCCCCUCGGAGGCUAGCGGCCGCUUGCGGGUCCCCAUUGAGCAGGGCCCUUAGGGUCCAGGCUUCCGAGCACGCUCACGCAGGGCAGGCUUUCCCGUAUCGCCGCAGCCCAAACUCUCCUGCGGGCGUCUGAAUGAACUGGGUCCAAAUCCGACUUCCCUGAACCAUCCUGAGAGAGGGGCCUAGGAAAUCUUCCCUUUGGGUAAGGCCCGACGGCCCCGACGUGCGUAUUGUUUUGGGAUCCUUGCCCCCCAAUACUUCAAGGAGUGCAACCCACCCCCUACCUCCGCCAACGUUACAGAAUCCAUGCUUGGGGAAAAGUCAGUUAAAAGAGAUUAUCCAGGACGUGAUUAGUGUUAAGGACCCUAUAAGCCAAGAGUCCUAAGAAGAUCGGAGGCCUUUGCUUGGAGCUGAAGGGAUAUUCAUCUAUUGUUGAGUUCCCCGCCCCCAGAUUUAUAACUUUUUAGCAUCUCAGAUGGUAAUGCUUUAGUAAAAUGUAAUGCUCAAAUUUCGGAACUAUUUUGAUUUCUGAAAAAUGCCUUUUUGGCUUCAACAACACGGGAUCCUGUUUUUUCUUCACAAAUCAGUUUACAUCAUAAAUUGCAAACAUUUGCAAUAAGAUCUCAAGAUUAUUUAUUUUACAUAACCUCAAGCACUUGACUAUGUUAAACCCCAGUACAGAAAGUCAGUGAAAUCAGUUUAAUGUGUGUCAGGGAAUUAAAGAACCACUCCUUUUCAACACAUAAACAAAGCAUUUAAGAUUGUUUUGAUUGUCAGUCUUCCAG